rnacentral:rRNA from 1 species
GACGAACGCUGGCGGCGUGCUUAACACAUGCAAGUCGAACGGAAAGGCCCUGCUUUUGUGGGGUGCUCGAGUGGCGAACGGGUGAGUAACACGUGAGUAACCUGCCCUUGACUUUGGGAUAACUUCAGGAAACUGGGGCUAAUACCGGAUAGGAGCUCCUGCUGCAUGGUGGGGGUUGGAAAGUUUCGGCGGUUGGGGAUGGACUCGCGGCUUAUCAGCUUGUUGGUGGGGUAGUGGCUUACCAAGGCUUUGACGGGUAGCCGGCCUGAGAGGGUGACCGGCCACGUUGGGACUGAGAUACGGCACAGACUCCUACGGGAGGCAGCAGUGGGGAAUAUUGCACAAUGGGCGGAAGCCUGAUGCAGCAACGCCGCGUGCGGGAUGACGGCCUUCGGGUUGUAAACCGCUUUCGCCUGUGACGAAGCGUGAGUGACGGUAAUGGGUAAAGAAGCACCGGCUAACUACGUG